rnacentral:misc_RNA from 1 species
GUCAGAUCUCUGCCACUGACGGCAAGCCUUGAUAGGUAUGGCAAGGAAGGUCUCUCUUUCUCUUACGAAAUUUCUCAGUGUGGAGUGAGGUCUGAAUUCUCAAUUUAGCUAUUGCGUACAAUCUCAGAUUCUAACCUAGCUAUCUAGAAAAUAUUGGAAUGAAAACUAAGAACUUAGCAAAGAGAGAUGGGCUCAGGGUCCUGAAGUCAAAAGUGGACACUCUGACGGAUAUCCUCCUGAGUCUGGAACAGCGAUUCGAAAUGUUCGGAAUGAAGCUGUCAAUCAUAAACCAUAACACUACCAAGAAGAACCUCCUAAAGCAAAGGCCCUUCACGAGGAUCGAAACUCUCGCGCUUACUAUCUAUCGAAGCCUCUAUAGAUUGGUGCGGGACUCGUUUGCUAGUCUUACGGGCCCACUUUGGCUCUUACAGCUUUGCCUGCAUGCGUAUUUUCCUGAGAUUGCCCCUGAGGGUUCUUCUGUUCCUCCUGAGGUCGAUUCGGUAAUGGUUACCGUUACAUCAACGAUCAGCCUCCUCAGAAGAGUUUUGCUACCUGUUUGGACUUUUUCUUCAAUCUGGGCACCCUACCAACCAGACGGAUUCCAGCCUUUCAAGGACCUUGCUCGAGGCCCGGGUUAUCUUAGAAGCUUCUCCCGGCAGACAAGAUCGCUCAGAAAAAAGAUUCUCAGGCCUGGGUUUCUUAGUUUGUAGAGAUAUACACUUCGGUCUGCAAUACCUCGAUGAAAGCCAAUCAGGAUGUGAACAAAUGGCAUGUCAUGAAGAGGUUGAAAGGCUUGUACGCCCUGGUAGAUGCUCGAUCUAACAAUAAAGGACGGCUAACUGCCUAGAAGUUGUUCGCGGUGCCUCAAACCGGAAGUCCAAAGCUCUUAAACCCUCUGUCAAGGCCAGUGAAGUUCAGUGGUUCUAGAUUCCGUCCGGAGAGUCAUUUUUGUCAAUUUCUUUCUUUUUAUGUAUUUCUGGUAUUUUUUUCUUAUUAUUUCUAAAGAGUUGAUCAAAGUUAAGAGUAAUUUUGCAAUGUAAUUGUUGAUUUAGUUUUUAUGCUUGGUCUUCAGUGAAAAGAU